GAUGAAGAACGUAGCGAAAUGCGAUAAGUAAUGUGAAUUGCAGAAUUCAGUGAAUCAUCGAAUCUUGAACGCACAUUGCGCCCGCCAGUAUUCUGGCGGGCAUGCCUGUUCGAGCGUCAUUUCAACCAUCAAGCCCCCGGCUUGUGUUGGGGACCUGCGGCUGCCGCAGGCCCUGAAAAGCAGUGGCGGGCUCGCUGUCACACCGAGCGUAGUAGCAUACAUCUCGCUCUGGGCGUGCUGCGGGUUCCGGCCGUUAAACCACCUUCAUAACCCAAGGUUGACCUCGGAUCAGGUAGGAAGACCCGCUGAACUUAAGCAUAUCAAUAAGCGGAGGA
rnacentral:misc_RNA from 1 species